UACGUAGGGUGCAAGCGUUAUCCGGAAUUAUUGGGCGUAAAGAGCUCGUAGGCGGUUUGUCGCGUCUGCUGUGAAAACUCGAGGCUCAACCUCGGGCUUGCAGUGGGUACGGGCAGACUAGAGUGCGGUAGGGGUGACUGGAAUUCCUGGUGUAGCGGUGAAAUGCGCAGAUAUCAGGAAGAACACCCGUGGCGAAGGCGGCUCUCUGGAACGCAACUGACGCUGAGACGCGAAAGCGUGGGGAGCAAACAGG
rnacentral:rRNA from 1 species